GAUGAACGCUAGCGGCAGGCUUAACACAUGCAAGUCGAGGGGUAUAGAGAGCUUGCUUUCUAGAGACCGGCGCACGGGUGCGUAACGCGUAUGCAAUCUACCUUUCACAAAGGGAUAGCCCAGAGAAAUUUGGAUUAAUACCUCAUAGUAUUAUAGAAUGGCAUCAUUUUAUAAUUAAAGAUUUAUCGGUGAAAGAUGAGCAUGCGUCCCAUUAGUUAGUUGGUAAGGUAACGGCUUACCAAGACUACGAUGGGUAGGGGUCCUGAGAGGGAGAUCCCCCACACUGGUACUGAGACACGGACCAGACUCCUACGGGAGGCAGCAGUGAGGAAUAUUGGACAAUGGGCGCAAGCCUGAUCCAGCCAUGCCGCGUGCAGGAUGACGGUCCUAUGGAUUGAAACUGCUUUUAACAGAACAACCCUCGACGUGUCGGACUUGACGGUACUAGUAAAGAAUAAGGAUCGGACUAACUCCGUGCCAGCAGCCG
rnacentral:rRNA from 1 species